AUUGAACGCUGGCGGCAGGCCUAACACAUGCAAGUCGAACGGUAACAGGAAACAGCUUGCUGUUUCGCUGACGAGUGGCGGACGGGUGAGUAAUGUCUGGGAAACUGCCUGAUGGAGGGGGAUAACUACUGGAAACGGUAGCUAAUACCGCAUAACGUCGCAAGACCAAAGAGGGGGACCCUCGGGCCUCUUGCCAUCGGAUGUGCCCAGAUGGGAUUAGCUAGUAGGUGGGGUAACGGCUCACCUAGGCGACGAUCCCUAGCUGGUCUGAGAGGAUGAGAAGCCACACUGGAACUGAGACACGGUCCAGACUGCUACGGGAGGCAGCAGUGGGGAAUAUUGCACAAUGGGCGCAAUCCUGAUGCAGCCAUGCCGCGUGUAUGAAGAAGGCCUUCGGGUUGUAAAGUACUUUCAGCGGGGAGGAAGGGAGUAAAGUUAAUACCUUUGCUCAUUGACGUUACCCGCAGAAGAAGCACCGGCUAACUCCGUGCCAGCAGCCGCGGUAA
rnacentral:rRNA from 1 species